GUGGAGAUGUGCUAAAUUUCUGCAUUUUCAGAUUAUUCCAAGUAAUUCCUGAUCUAAACAGCACGAGCGUGGUGGGGACCAGGUUGAGACCCCACGAUCUGUAGCAGGCUGCUGCAGCUCCAAAGCCAUCAUGGACUGGUUAAUGUCUUCACCAGUGGCAUCAAGGUCUUGCAAACCAAAGGAAGAGCAGAUGUAGCCCACGGGGGAUUCGUUUCUAAUGGGCACUGCAGAAGAGCUACAGUGUAAGUGCUAGAAGAAGAAUGCAACACGGGAUAGUAAAGGAGAAUUGGACGUCCACAUCCUUCCCCACUGUGAUCCUGCCAGCGGGUCCCCAGGGAGAGAUUUCCAGCAGCACUCUGGAGAAGCAAGAGCUUGCUGACACCCACCAGCAGUACUAGGACUGCAGGGCUUGACCUCGCUAUCUGAACGAAACUGGCUAAGGGAGAGCAGACAAAUGUCCUUGCUCAAAAUUAAAAAUAAUUCUCUGCAUUUAUAUGACAAUCGUAAAGGGGUGCCACAAGAGAGGACGACAUAAUCUUCCUUCCU